AGUAAAGUGGCGACCGGGUGAGUAACACGUGACUAACCACCUUCGAUGGGGGAUAACAUCGGGAAACCGAUGCUAAUACCGCAUAAUAUCGCAAGAUCAAAGCAGCAAUGCGCUUGAAGAGGGGGUCGCGGCUGAUUAGCUAGUUGGCGGGGUAACGGCCCACCAAGGCGAAGAUCGGUAGCCGGCCUGAGAGGGCGCACGGCCACACUGGAACUGAAACACGGUCCAG
rnacentral:rRNA from 1 species